GCAAUGGUGGAAACCCUGAGGCAGCACGCCGCGUGGAGGAUGAAGUCCCUUGGGACGUAAACUCCUUUCGACCGGGACGAUUAUGACGGUACCGGUGGAAGAAGCCCCGGCUAACUUCGUGCCAGCAGCCGCGGUAAUACGAGGGGGGCAAGCGUUGUUCGGAAUUAUUGGGCGUAAAGGGCGCGUAGGCGGUGCGGUAAGUCACCUGUGAAACCUCUAGGCUUAACCUAGAGCCUGCAGGCGAAACUGCCGUGCUAGAGGGUGGGAGAGGUGCGUGGGAUUCCCGGUGUAGCGGUGAAAUGCGUAGAUAUCGGGAGGAACACCUGUGGCGAAAGCGGCGCACUGGACCACUUCUGACGCUGAGGCGCGAAAGCUAGGGGAGCAAACAGGAUUAGAUACCCUGGUAGUCCUAGCCCUAAACGAUGGAUGCUUGGUGUGUCGGGUACCCAAUCCCGACGUGCCGAAGCUAACGCGAUAAGCAUCCCGCCUGGGGAGUACG
rnacentral:rRNA from 1 species